rnacentral:rRNA from 1 species
GACGUAGGGCGCGAGCGUUGUCCGGAUUUAUUGGGCGUAAAGAGCUCGUAGGCGGCUUGUCGCGUCGACCGUGAAAACUCGCAGCUCAACUGCGAGCCUGCGGUCGAUACGGGCAGGCUAGAGUUCGGUAGGGGAGACUGGAAUUCCUGGUGUAGCGGUGAAAUGCGCAGAUAUCAGGAGAAACACCGAUGGCGAAGGCAGGUCUCUGGGCCGAUACUGACGCUGAGGAGCGAAAGCGUGGGGAGCGAACAGG